CCCUGGGCUGGCCGUGAAAGCCAGAGGAGGGGAGGCUGGCAGGGCUCCUGCAGCCAGCUACCCGUUAUCCUCCCGCUGCAGGAGCCGGCUGACAAUGAAAUCUCCAACUGCAGGCUUGGGAAGGACUAGUGGCGGUAUGAAAUUACUCCUGGGUGCAGACAAACCAAGUGACUCCCCACAGCAGAGCUAUAAAUUAGUCUCCACAGCCUGCCAGCAUAACCUGCCUGUUGAUAGCUUAUAAACAAGUCAGCUGUAGAGCAAGGUUAAUAUUUACCUACAUGCCUCAGACUGGUGGCAUUCUGAAGAUGGAAAGUGUUACAGAAGCUCUAGCGUACCAGUGUGCUGACCUGAUUUCUAUGUACUGACUAUCGCUGUUUCUUUAUUCCCUUGACACUAUUUCUCCACAUCUCCAAAACCAUGAUGCUGCCCAGACAUUUGUGUUGUGCCUUCCACUUGGAGUGCAAGAGAAAACCUGUCCUUCACCAAGGCUUCAGUUCAAAGCAGCUUGCUUGAGGAUAGCAUUUAAUUGACCUCAGUGAUGGAGCACUUGCAGGAUGCCUCUUGCCUAGCAACAACCACCAGGAAACUCUAAUCCUUAGGUUUUGAGGCACUGUUGCUGCUAUGACAUUCCCAGGAACUUUGGGCUAUGAUGAGAAGGGAUUUUAUUGAGGGCUAAUACAACAUGAAAAAGCAACUGUUUCUUAAAGACAGUAGAGACCUUGGGAAGGUAGGCACACUUCUCUUUCUGAUAAAGGCUGCGUACUGCUGCUAAAGAAAUGAUGAUUUUUCUGAGCAAAGUAACCAUCUACUGAAAGGAGCCAGUAUCCAUUUGCUGCUGAAGUCAAAAGAAAAGCUCACAUUAAAGAAGGUCAUUAUGGCCUGGCCACGCAGUACCAGGAAAGCAAUUUUUAUUUCUCAUUACUGCUGUGAACUGGCUAAAGAAGCUCUUAAAUGCCUAUCAGCAGUACAAAAGAAUGCUGUUUAUCUGCUGAGAAUGCGUUAGAGAAAGGAAGAUGCCAGAACUUGGAGGGAAUAAUGUUUUUUAUAUAGCAGUCUGAUGCAGAGGCCUGAAUGCACCAGCUGCACCUGAAGGACUGAAAAAAGAGGUACAAAUAAGCAAACCACGAGCUAAUAUCCAUUUGAAUUUUAAGUGCAUUCAUUCUAGAUAUGCUGCCACACCUUUUGUGCUCAUCUGCUUGCAGAUAUGGAGGAAAUCACGGUUUCCAAGUUCAAAUAAACUCAGAAGAGAAUUUUCAAAGUUCCUAUGCCUGACUUCAAACAAACAAGCAUUGCAUUCAUGUUUAUGAACGUUUGUACUGGAAGUGACUGCAGAUUUAUUCAACCAGGAAAUAAAAAUGACAUCACUUGAUUUAUUUAACCAGCCACUAGAAAACAAUGUGCAUAUUAAUGAAUGUGAAUAAUUACUUUAAAUUAAAUUCAAUCUACAGAGCAGUAGGAUCAUUAAGCUGUACCAAAUAAACUUAACUAAGGAAUAAAUUCAAAAGAAAUUUGUGAUCCUCUGGCAGUUAUUAUAUAAAUGGGAGCAAAGACUGCGUUAAUUGUAUAAAUUAUUCAUUUUUAAUUAUUUGUUCAGCUGUGGUAAGUAUUGAUAAUAACUUUAAGUCUCAGGGAGGAAAAAAUGAUGACAAAGAAACUUUGCUUAUUCUCCUUAGAAUGGUAAAGUAAACAAAACUGAGGAACUGAGGAAUGUUACUAAGGUCAUUGGGGAGAUCUUGUUCACUGGUUUUUCUUGUCAUCCCUUCUGCCCAGUGCUAGCGACCCUUUCUAACAGACAUGCUUUUUGAAAACUUGGAUAACUAAAAUGUUGGUUGGAAGAAGAAUAAUGGAAAAUAAAGCAAGCUUUGGUCCAUGUAAAGGUUAGGUGAUAAAUGGCAAAUACAUUCUCUAGAGGAGGUGCAUGUAUGUGUGGCCUCAAGUAAAGCUUGCAGCAGCAUGGUGAGCUGCUGUGAUCCUCAGCAACGUGGAAGCAGCAAUGUGCUUUGGGGAUCCAUGAGCAGUAAAAAAUAAAUUAAGAUCCUUCUGCUUCUCAACAUGUAACCUGCAGCUUUUGAUACACAAUCAAUACACAGUGGUUGUUUGCAAGCUCCUGAGACCUCUUUCCUGAAACAGAAUGCCUCUGCUGAAUGCAGAGGGCAGCAGGGAUGGUGCCCUUGGAAGUGCCAGCACAGUAUCCUUCAGUCACCUCUAGAGCUUGUUGCCUCAGGCUUCUUGGCUCAGCAAACUGGGACACCUGAAAGCUACAUGGCAUCAGAAACAGAAGCCAAAGAGCUUUCCGACUGCUGGAAAUCUUGGAAAAUCCCAGACAGACAAAUGUCCCCACUUUAUUUCUAGUUUGUGCUUCAAAGUAUAUGAACAGCAGAGGUUUUUUUGGAAAAAAUAAUAAAAUGAUGAAUUUAUUGAAUCAGUUAAAUCAAUUUGGCAGGAAUGUACUCGAAGAAUUCAAGUUGAAUUAAAUAGCAUGAAAAAUUUCAGCAUGAAGAGUAUGAUAGGCUUACAGACUAUCAAAAACAAUUUUAGAGAGGGAAGCAUUAGACAAUCUUAACCAGAGGUGCCAUUCCCAAUCUACAAUGGGUGAAAAUUAUAUAUUCCAUUAAAUACCACAUACUAUAUUACAUGUACUUCCAAUGGUACAGAGCUGUUUCCUUGAAUUAUGAUGAUGAUUUUCUUGCUGUGAAGUUAUAUUUUCAGAUAUUCAACAGGGUCUUUUACUAAAGAAGCACUAUUCCCCCAUGCAACAGGUAUGCCCUUAGCAGAUCCAACAUUAGUUUAUACUGCCUGUAUAAGACAUCUGCAAAGGAACAUGUCCCAGUGAACUGUUAGGCACUAAUAAAUUUUUCCUACUUGCAGCUGUUGUCUAUUGAGAAAUGGGCUUUCAGUUGAGCGUAGUUUCCCACCAAAAUGAACUAGCCAUCUCUUUAUCAAAAUUAUUGCUCUGCUGAAAUAACUUGAGGGGCAUUCAGCCUCCACACAGUGAAUGUGGCAUCCAGCAGAGCAACCAGUUUGAAUCACCCCUACAGUCUCUGUAUCCUUCCAAGAAGCCUGCUGGCCUCACCGAUGUCCUGCUAACAGUGUGUAAGGAAUCAUGGUGUGAUCAGGAGGUACUGCUGGCAUAAGAGGAUGCUGUAAGCUGCGCCAUCUUGUGUAGCUCAAAAAAAAAGCCAUCUGACAGCACGCAGAUAUUCAAGAAUAUUUCAGGAGACAAUUAGCAUCCGUGUACCAAAUGCUCCCGAGUGGGUAAGCUUUAGGAACACUCCCUAGGAUUUUCAGCUGAAUUUGCAUCCCAGCUCUAAAGCCAAUGAGUUCUUCUACAUUUGCUACAUACUGCUGGGAAGGAGGGAACAGCAAAGGGGAGUCAUCCCCUUGUUUGUCCCUACAAACCUGCACCAAAGUCCUCUCCUGAACAGAUGUGAGUGUACCUGGCUACCCUGUUGCUCUGUCUGAGGACUCAAGGGUGCAACACCUACUUGUACAGAACCUGGUGCCUCUAUGCCAUGUAAGCUCCACAGGACAUUGUCUGUAACCUCUGUUUUGAAUGUGUUACAGAAUCAAAUGUGCAGAAUUUAGAGUCAAGAAAGUUUAAACACCUAAGCAAGGUAUAAAUAUCGUGCCAGGAUCUGUCCCUGCUGUCUUCCAUGAAUGUGAAUUCCCCUGACAUAAAAAGCUGACAGAGGGCUUGAGUUUUCAGCAGGGGAUAGAUUCGUGCAGAUCUCUGCAGUGGUGACAUUUGCGUUCAGCUGACUCUACCUGUGUAGAACAGCAGAAAUAUCUGACAGCAUAAAGGAAGAGUCAAAUGAACUCAACCAAGGAAAAGAAUAGAAUUUAAAGCAUACACUAAGGGCUUAUACUAUGUCCUGUUGCAUAAUUAAAUGGAGAUGUUCUGCACCUGUUUUCCUUGACGUAUUUCUCUGAGAUGGAAGAUGUGAAUUUUUGUUUUGCCAACUGACUUUUACAAUUAAUUCACGGUACAGAUUCAGUGUCCUAGCAAAUAUGCUCACUCUCUCCUUCUGUUCUAUAUACAGCUUUGCUAGGAGGAAGAGAUAGCAGGCUCAGUCUGUAGGGGCUCAUUUGAGAGGGCUUGGUGCUGUCUGCUGAGCUUGAAUGCACAGGUAGGGAUGAGGAAAGAUAAAGAUGUUGAGCCUUUUGAGGCAGAAAGGUCUUACAUUGCCUGCUGUAGCCAGCACGUUCUCCUUGCCCAAUAAAUUUGACAUUUGUAAAGUAAUUUUUCACCUAGACUGUGUUUCUCCUAGGGAUUUGAUAAGUCUUUUUAGUGUAAAGUGGAUGUUUUCUGAAGUCCAGCUCUAAAAUCCUAGGGGAGAAGUUCUUUUUGCUGGAAACAUUACUUUUUCUUGGAGAAGUCAGCAUCUGAGCCAGGUGAAUAUAUUCUGAUUUGCAGAUCCUAUGGUAUUUUUAUAAUGACCAUAGGCAAUGUGUGGCAAUUAUUUUCUGAGAAAUGAUGAUUUUCUAGUAAUGACCACGGCUGUGCCUUUCACCUGAGUUUUCCUCUUUAAUAUACAAGCUUGGGGAUUUGUGAAUGUAUUGUCUCUGUGGCAGAAGUACAACAGCAUGUAUUAUAAAGUUAACACCCAAAAGAGCAGGAGAUGAGCUGUGGACACAAAAAUAGAGCUAGACCUAGCCCCAGGACUGUGUGUUCUCAGUGUUAACAGGCUCUACAGAAAGUUUCUGUUGAUUCUUGCCCUUGCAGCAUCCAGGCUGUCUGCCUUGGGGGAGAAGUGGAUAGUGUUCAGCUUUUCCCUCCCCAGAGGGCAAAGCAGCUUCUUUUCCAUCUGCUUUUGAAAACAACAGAUCUACUGAAGUGUGCAACUUCAACCAAGAGUAAAAUUUCUCACGCUUAUACAGCCUCCGCUGCCACCACAUUAGAGAACACCCCAUCAUUCCCAGUUUUCCUUGUGUUUAAUCCCUGAUGAAACAGGUGUUGCUAUUUUUACUUGUUAAGCAUUUGGCAGCUUAGGUACAGAAAGGCUAAGACUACAUCUGCACAAUGCAAUGCAGUUCUCAACCAGCACACUCUAAAGCGGGUGACACAACACCCAAUACAGCUCAGUAAGUUCUUUGCCUAGUUAACUCACCCCACCAGAAGCUUGCCAAAGCAGGGCUGUAUUGGUGUACAGCAAGGCUAGGUGGGAAAUCAUGGGCAGAUGUUUAAUUACUGAAAAGUGUAAGGACUACCUGCUGUGCUCCCACACCUGAGCAGGCUUUUAAAUAUCACAUUUUGUCAGGAUGCUGGACCUACACUACACGGAUUCCUGGAAAGCUGAAUUCAAAUCCAGCCAACAGCUUCUUAGCUUAGCAACCUGUAGCCUACAGAAAUCAUCAUGGCAGCAUCAGGAGCCACUUAAAUAACCAAAGUGUUCAUCCAACAUCAUUAGAGCGUUGUGCCCAAUUCUCCAAGGCUUUGGUGACAACUGGAUCUAACUACAGAUUUUUGGUUAAAACAGAACUUUAACACUUCACAUUAUCCUGUUGGGCAGAAUCUCAGUUUUUUUAUACAUUCUGUAUAACUUAAAAUAGCUUCAGCAUAUGCUCACUUCUUUCUCAUUAAACAUUUCCAGGAAAGUCUUAGCAGUUUUACAUGUGGAAUAAGAAUUUUAGCUUCAGUUUCCUGGACAACCUGCUGCAGUCAAACCUAUAACAUCACCACGAAAUCUCAUCCAAGUCCACAAUUGUCUUUAAUCCCUGACCUAAUCCUUUUUUUCCAUGUCCACCUGAGAUGGCAAAUAUUUUGCCAGAAUGGGACCAAGUAUGAGUGACAACAGAAAAUCUUGGUACGCAGACCCCUUGCUUGGGAGUGGUAUAAAUCCAUGAUGAAAAGACUGCUAUUGCCAGGCACAAUUGUUGUCUGUGUGAAUUAGAUCAUUUCAGUACAUAACACAAGCCAUUUAAAGGCAGGAUAUUAUGCAGUAGGCACCUGAUUUGCUUUCAUAGACUUUAUGAUGGCAAAGGAAUGUUAGACUGUGUGCACAGCUCAAGGAGGAAACUUCAUUGUCUCAGACUCUUUUUAGAUUUACUAUGUUUUUAUCAAAAUAGCUAAAAGUUCAGGCACAUCACUAUUAGUUCCCAUUUAUAAAGGAUCCAUUUGAUACAUUCCAGUGUGGGAGCCAUGGGGAAGUGCCGGUCUCCCUUUGAAAUCCCUUGUGUAACUCACACUGUCUCUGCUAAGGGUACAUAUAGGAAUAUAUGCCAUUUGGUAGUGGUAUUCUAUUCUACAAGUUGUUUACCACACAUACUAUUUAUAACUUUGGUUAUCAGAGCUUGAACUUCUGUACCAGAGUGUCUGUACAAAGUGACAGAGAUCCAUACAGUAUGCAAUAAAUAACUUACAUGCCGAGGAAUGUUCCUGCUGUUAAGCUGGCUUGUUAUGAUUUCACUUAGUGAUAGAUAAAGAUGAUGGAAUAUGACUUCUCUCUGACAAAAAACUGGGUUUCUUCCCAGCGGCUCAGAAACGCCUGAGCCUGAAGACUCUCUGCUGUCUCCUUUGCCUGUCUGUGUGAUACGUGAUGAGCGCUCCCUUCCUUCUCAAGCAGGUUACUCCUUUCAGGCCGCAGUGUCUCAUGUGGAAAGGUAAUAAAUUUUUUGCGGAACUACCCAUUACCACCAUCUGGGAGCAGAUGGAUACAAACCAGCUAAACAGCCACUCUGGCAUUUUGCAUAGCAAAAAGCAGAAGCGGGGCAGGCAGCCCCUCAUGAAGUUCUGCUUCUGUUUCUUUUCCUGGGUAAAUUCCCUUUAAACUGUGAGCAAGAAGAAAACAGUAACUUUAUACCAAAGACAAAUGAAAAUGUACCAGGAGCAGCAAUUUCUCUCCCAUGCUACUGUAACAGCACCAUAUUCUUCACACUCAGUUUCACAGGAAAAUUACAAGCUAUCUGUUUACUAAAGCAUGCUUGGGGAUAAAUCCUGCUCAUCUUCUUUAUGUGAAUGAGUAACUCUUAUUUGAAUGAGCAGCCUGACCAGGGGCAGCGUUAGCAUGCAGUUUGUGACCCAUCUCCUCCUUGCUCAGGGCGCAGCUUUUCACAUCCCUCUCCAAUUUGCCGCUCCAUCCAGCCCCACUUGUGAUGUCUCAGACAAAGGGCAAACGAUGACAGGAUAAGACCUUUCACAUAUAACUUGCAAUCUUUACAGAAAUCUGCUUGUCUCAUAAUUUUCACAUCAAGGCUAUGAUGAGAAAAAAGCCCCAUGGUAACUAAUUGACUGGAGGGUAACCAGUCAGCUCAGGAGCUGUUUGUUUUGCAGCAUAAAAUCAUUGAAUAAGCUGUAACAAAUGUUUCUGCACUCACUGUGCAGACCUGCCAAGUCAAUUCAGAGAUAUCAACAAGAACAUUUUAAAUGUUUUGGCAAGAAAAAAAAUUUCUAUAAACUACUGAGGUGUUUUGUGGGUGUAUUUUCAGGUAACAAGCCUUGGCUCAAAGCCUGGCAUUCAAGCAUCGCUGAAUAACACUCAUAUUCAAAAACUAAUCAGAAUCAGUAUUCAAGUGCUGUAAAUGGUCCCUAUAUUUCCAACAAUUCAUCUAACCACCACGAAUUACUUGGAAAUAAUUAAGCUUUUGACCAAAAUUAUGUGCUGCAUAAUUUCAGUCUACGGACUCUGAUUUGUUGAAUCCAAAAUAUUCCAUGGAACAUUAUUAUAGCUGGGCCCAUUUUUUUUUUUAAUUAGUGAUCAAUAAUGUAUAUAUUAUGACGGAUCAUGCAGAGUUGCAUUGCUUAUUUAGCAUCAUAUGUACCCUUGUUAAACACUGUAAUAGAGUAGCUCCCAGACACACUUCAGCUCAGGGAACUUUUUCUGAGCCUAACUAGAAAGCAAUGGAAUUUAAGAACAUGCAAAUAAUUCUAUUUUAUUGUGGAAAAAUCUGUUUUAUGCUGCAGAGAUGGACUUAAUCCUGUGUCCAGAGGGUUGAGUGGACUAGAGCUAGUGCCAGUAUGACAUUGAUCAUCCUGAUAACAUAAUGAUUCAAAUACAUGCCUACAUUUAUCAGAAGGGUCCUGACUCUAGUGCACCUUGGCCUUUAUGUUUGUUUCCUUCCCUUGUUCCUCUUGAGUCACUUGCUUUCCACAAGAAGUGACUCAUCAGACCUGGUCAGGGGUGCUGAGGCAGGCUUAGUCUGUGAAAUCACCUCAGUAGAAUAAUUUCUUUGGUAGAAUAAUUGCUUUAGGAAGUUAUCAAGGGGAUAAAAUGUGCACAUACGGCUUGCAUUUUCACAAAUACAUAAAAGACCAUGUGGGGCUGUACACCCAGCAGGCAAUAAAAAUCCUUCCUUCCAUGAUUAUCAUGAGAUAAUCAUGAGACUUCAACUCCUUCUUCUCCAUGCAGCUGCCAUACAGAGCAGAGAGGAGUUUCAUCCUAUGAGUGCCAUAUUACUAUAGCUGGAUAUUCCUGCUAGGAUUGAAGCAGGGAAAACAAUGGUUCUCUUGAACAGAGACAAGGGAACAUAGAAAGUUCUUACCUCUUUCCUUAAUAUUAACCUGCUCUCUCUUAAUUAGUCCACUAGGAUGAUGCAACUACUGUACAAGGGAAAUAAUCACUUUCAUAGAGCAGGGUAAGUAAAACUAAUUCAAAAAAUAAAUAUGCUAUUACAUAUUUCCAUGCCUACCUCAGGAGGCAGCACAUUCACUGUACUCCAAUAAGCUUCAGAUAGAGAGAAAAAUACACCUGGAAUUUGCUAGUGUUGAAAAAUGCAGUAUUUCCUGCGCUCUUGCAAGAGAUACUGUACUUCUUACCAUUCUCCUGUCAUACUGAGCUGAGCUUCCAGCACAGGAAAGCAAGGGCUGUGCAUCACUGUUGUUCUCAACUGCAGCAGAACCAGGGAGCCAGCACAUAGCAGUUACCCCAGUACGUCAGAUCCCAGUGACACGUAGCUGCACUCACCCCUGUCGGUUGCAUACAGACACCAGCAGCCCAGGGUCUGCUCCCUGUAGCACAGCCUCUUCUCCGUUAUGGCUUCUGCCACCUUUUGGUUAUGUAUUUUCAAGUUCUGUGGAGCAGGGCUCACUCCAGAGCUGGCACAGUGCCUAGGCUGAAGCUCUCCAUGUUAGGUAAGGUCUUCAGGCAUAACCACAGUAUAAAGCUAUAAAUCAGCUGCUCGAUCUGAUCUUUUUAAUAACAGAGGAGAUGAAAUACUUGGAGAUUCAGCUAGAAUAGCCGGUGAGUGCCAUAAUUCUCACCAGUGUGGGGUACUUGUCUGGUGCUCUUUGGGCAGCUGGAUGACUAUUGCAUGGCUGGCUGAAAGCUGCUUUUGUUUACCCAGCAAAAGCAAAUACUAUUUCAUACAACAGCUAUGUUUCAAGCGUGACGAACUGCAUCUUGAUUACUGUCCUUAAGGCUGCUUUGGCUCUUCUACCACCUGCCUCAUGGACAUCUGCACUAAAUACACAUCCCAUCAUUUCAUUCACCAAGCUUGUUUUGGUGCUGAGAGUCAGAGCAUGGUAGAAGCCACCAACCUAAAAAUUACUCAAGUGAACAUUCUCCCAUUAGGACAAAGAGCACAUUCAUCCAUGUCUAUCUCUCAGUGUGAGGUUAUUGGAUAUUUUCUCAGCAAAGUUUUCCCUGGGCUGACCAUGAGGUUCUGUGCCCAUGUGCCUUUAUGGUUAUUACUUUAAUGAAUCUCUCAUUGACAACAAUUGGUAGGGACAAUACUGACCUAGUCUUCAAUGUGUUCCUUUAGCUAUGUUACAUACACUAGAUGGGGAGAUAAGGAAGCUGAAGUGGGAGGUUUGUUCCUCAAAACCACUAUAGUUCAGAAUUCACAUGCUUCCCUUUAUAACUUCUCAGUGUUCUCUUGCAACUUGCUCUGUGUAACUUUUAGGGCAUUUCCAGGCAAAAGAUGUGAUUCCCAUGGGCAAAAGAAAGGAAUAUUUCCCAUAAACAAGGGAGAAGAAUUGUUUUUGACGAACCAGCACAUAUUUUAACCCAAUUUUUUUCUCUU